AACGAACGCUGGCGGCAUGCCUAACACAUGCAAGUCGAACGAGACCUUCGGGUCUAGUGGCGCACGGGUGCGUAACGCGUGGGAACCUGCCCUUAGGUUCGGAAUAACCCCCCGAAAGGGGUGCUAAUACCGGAUAAGGUCUUCGGACCAAAGAUUUAUCGCCUUUGGAUGGGCCCGCGUUGGAUUAGCUAGUUGGUAGGGUAAAAGCCUACCAAGGCGACGAUCCAUAGCUGGUCUGAGAGGAUGAUCAGCCACACUGGGACUGAGACACGGCCCAGACUCCUACGGGAGGCAGCAGUGGGGAAUCUUGGACAAUGGGCGAAAGCCUGAUCCAGCAAUGCCGCGUGAGUGAUGAAGGCCUUAGGGUUGUAAAGCUCUUUUACCCGGGAUGAUAAUGACAGUACCGGGAGAAUAAGCUCCGGCUAACUCCGUG
rnacentral:rRNA from 1 species